GGAUUGAAAUGGGGGCACCCUGAUCCAGCAAUGCCGCGUGAGUGAAGAAGGCCUUCGGGUUGUAAAGCUCUUUUGUCAGGGAAGAAACGGUUCUCUCUAAUACAGGGGGCUAAUGACGGUACCUGAAGAAUAAGCACCGGCUAACUACGUGCCAGCAGCCGCGGUAAUACGUAGGGUGCGAGCGUUAAUCGGAAUUACUGGGCGUAAAGCGUGCGCAGGCGGUUGUGUAAGACAGGUGUGAAAUCCCCGGGCUUAACCUGGGAAUGGCAUUUGUGACUGCACGGCUAGAGUGUGUCAGAGGGGGGUAGAAUUCCACGUGUAGCAGUGAAAUGCGUAGAUAUGUGGAGGAAUACCGAUGGCGAAGGCAGCCCCCUGGGAUAACACUGACGCUCAUGCACGAAAGCGUGGGGAGCAAACAGGAUUAGAUACCCUGGUAGUCCACGCCCUAAACGAUGUCAACUAGUUGUCGGGUCUUAAUUGACUUGGUAACGCAGCUAACGCGUGAAGUUGACCGCCUGGGGAGUACGGUCGCAAGAUUAAAACUCAAAAAAAUUGACGGA
rnacentral:rRNA from 1 species